AGAUGCUGCUUCCUCGGCCUGUUUUGAUUCCCCCCGUGACGGAGGAGUGGGGGCGAGGAAGUCAUCCGCCUUUUCACAGGCUGUUUGAUUGGCUGAACUGGUUGAAGAUGCUGCUUCCUCGGCCUGUUUUGAUUUCCCCGUGACGGAGGAGUGGGGGCGAGGAAGUCAACCUCCGCUUCACAGGUCGGGUCAGCCUCCACCAUCGAACUGUCUGCCAUAG